rnacentral:lncRNA from 10 species
AAUUAUGUGAUUACUCACUGGUGGCUCUGGGAAGGCAGGUGAGGCUUCCUGGAGGGAGGAACCUGAAUGUUCAGAAAGGUCCACAUGGAGGCUGGGGCUGCUGGGACCCCCACAGUUAGGUCCAGAAACCCCCCGAGAGGCAGGGGCUGCCCGAGGUAUGCAGAACGAGCUCCCCAUUGGAGGCGUAUGUCAACAAGGGGAUGGCUAGAAUUUGGCAAAGCAUUUAUGGACUGGGGAGCUUGCGGCGUGAGACCAGUGUUCUCAAAGCGUGCUCUACGGAAUGCUACGGCAGGAUCACUUGGGAAGUUCAUCAGAAAUGCAGGUCCCUGGACCCCAGCACGGACCCACUGAAUCAGACUCAGAGGACACAGGGCCUGGAAUCUGGGUUUGUCACAAGCUCCCUCAAAUCUGACUCUCAUGCACAAUGACGUCUCCAAGCCACCGGACCGGAGAGCCCCUGAGGUCCCUUCUCCAGAGAUAACCUGGAUUCUCCCCAUUGUGGAGAUGGCAUCAAAGAGAACAGUGUCCUGGACAGGCGCAGUGGCUCACACCUAUAAUCCCAGCAUUCUGGGAGGCCAAGGGGGGCGGAUCAUGAGGUCAAGAGAUCGAGACCAUCCUGGCCAACAUGGUGAACCCCGUCUCUACUAAAAAUACAAAAAUUAGCUGGGCGUGGUGGCGCAUGCCUGUAGUCCCAGC